rnacentral:tRNA from 1 species
GCGUCAGUAGCGCAAACGCAGCGCGCCCACCUUCCGGGUGGGAGGUCCUGGUUCAAAUCCGGGCUGACGCU